GAUGAACGCUGGCGGCGUGCCUAAUACAUGCAAGUCGAGCGAACAGAUAAGGAGCUUGCUCCUUUGACGUUAGCGGCGGACGGGUGAGUAACACGUGGGUAACCUAUUUAUAAGACUGGAAUAACUCCGGGAAACCGGGGCUAAUGCCGGAUAACAUGUUGAACCGCAUGGUUCUACAGUGAAAGGCGGCUUUGCUGUCACUUAUAGAUGGACCCGCGCCGUAUUAGCUAGUUGGUGCGGUAACGGCUCACCAAGGCAACGAUACGUAGCCGACCUGAGAGGGUGAUCGGCCACACUGGAACUGAGACACGGUCCAGACUCCUACGGGAGGCAGCAGUAGGGAAUCUUCCGCAAAGGGCGAAAGCCUGACGGAGCAACGCCGCGUGAGUGAUGAAGGUCUUCGGAUCGUAAAACUCUGUUAUUAGGGAAGAACAAAUGCGUAAGUAACUGUGCGCGUCUUGACGGUACCUAAUCAGAAAGCCACGGCUAACUACGUG
rnacentral:rRNA from 1 species